rnacentral:snoRNA from 1 species
AUGAGGGCAGGUGUGUGGCGAUAAAUGAGCGGUGGUGACAAGGCUGA